AGUGAACGCUGGCGGUAGGCCUAACACAUGCAGGUCGAACGGCAGCACAGUAAGCGCUUGCUCUUACGGGUGGCGAGUGGCGGACGGGUGAGGAAUACAUCGGAAUCUACUUUUUCGUGGGGGAUAACGUAGGGAAACUUACGCUAAUACCGCAUACGACCUACGGGUGAAAGCAGGGGAUCUUCGGACCUUGCGCGAUUGAAUGAGCCGAUGUCGGAUUAGCUAGUUGGCGGGGUAAAGGCCCACCAAGGCGACGAUCCGUAGCUGGUCUGAGAGGAUGAUCAGCCACACUGGAACUGAGACACGGUCCAGACUCCUACGGGAGGCAGCAGUGGGGAAUAUUGGACAAUGGGCGCAAGCCUGAUCCAGCCAUACCGCGUGGGUGAAGAAGGCCUUCGGGUUGUAAAGCCCUUUUGUUGGGAAAGAAAAGCAGCAGGUUAAUACCCCGCUGUUCUGACGGUACCCAAAGAAUAAGCACCGGCUAACUUCGUG
rnacentral:rRNA from 1 species